ensembl:snRNA U6 U6 spliceosomal RNA
GUGCUUGCUUCAGCAGCACAUAUUUUAAAACAGGAAUGAUGCAGAGAUUAGCCUGGCCCCUGAACAAGUAUGCUUGCCAACUCAUCAAGCAAUCCAUAUUUUA